rnacentral:rRNA from 1 species
CCUACGGGAGGCAGCAGUGGGGAAUUUUGGACAAUGGGCGCAAGCCUGAUCCAGCAAUGCCGCGUGCAGGAUGAAGGCCUUCGGGUUGUAAACUGCUUUUGUACGGAACGAAACGGUUCUCUUUAAUACAGGGGGCUAAUGACGGUACCGUAAGAAUAAGCACCGGCUAACUACGUGCCAGCAGCCGCGGUAAUACGUAGGGUGCGAGCGUUAAUCGGAAUUACUGGGCGUAAAGCGUGCGCAGGCGGUUAUAUAAGACAGAUGUGAAAUCCCCGGGCUCAACCUGGGACCUGCAUUUGUGACUGUAUAGCUAGAGUACGGUAGAGGGGGAUGGAAUUCCGCGUGUAGCAGUGAAAUGCGUAGAUAUGCGGAGGAACACCGAUGGCGAAGGCAAUCCCCUGGACCUGUACUGACGCUCAUGCACGAAAGCGUGGGGAGCAAACAGGAUUAGAUACCCUGGUAGUCCACGCCCUAAACGAUGUCAACUGGUUGUUGGGUCUUCACUGACUCAGUAACGAAGCUAACGCGUGAAGUUGACCGCCUGGGGAGUACGGCCGCAAGGUUGAAACUCAAAUGAAAUUGACGG